rnacentral:rRNA from 1 species
UGGGGAAUAUUGGGCAAUGGGCGCAAGCCUGACCCAGCCACGCCGCGUGAGUGAUGAAGGCCUUCGGGUCGUAAAGCUCUGUGGGGAAGGACGAAAAAACAUUGGCUAAUAUCCAAUGGCUUGACGGUACUUCCUUAGCAAGCACCGGCUAACUCUGUGCCAGCAGCCGCGGUAAUACAGAGGGUGCAAACGUUGCUCGGAAUCAUUGGGCGUAAAGCGCACGUAGGCGGCCUGAUAAGUCGGUAGUGAAAGCCCUCGGCUUAACCGAGGAAGUACUAUCGAAACUGCCAGGCUUGAGUACCGGAGAGGAUCGCGGAAUUCCCGGUGUAGAGGUGAAAUUCGUAGAUAUCGGGAGGAACACCAGUGGCGAAGGCGGCGAUCUGGACGGAUACUGACGCUGAGGUGCGAAAGCGUGGGGAGCAAACAGGAUUAGAUACCCAAGUAGUCCCUGAGCGGGCUGGCAAGGCGCAU